UUCAAACAGACAUGAAGAAAAUCAAACAUGUGCCAGAACUAGAGUCUAAUGAUGAGACACAGAAUGUAAGAAGUCUCAUGACCUGAGAGGAUCACAACAGCUUGGGCAAAAAACAAGCUCCUUGUAUGCGUAAAAAAGCAGAAUAAGUUUGAACUGAAACAUAACUAAUAUUAACUUUGUGAUGCUCACAGUCAUAUAGUCUUUCUUGUUCAUUUCUAAUUUUAUCAUUUGUGAUGUGAUCUAGGAAAACCCAACACAUAGUGAAUUUUUAACAAAAGUUAUGGCCGUCUGAAGUUGGCUGAUUAUGAUUUUCCAGAAUGUAAUUUUGGGUUUCACUUUCACUUCUACUUAAGGAUCGUCUGUCAGGAGCGAUAUACUGCAUCAUUACACAAACAGACUAACAUAUCCCUAAGGGUACAGUUUUCGGUUGUUUAUCAUGAUGAACAUAGUCUCUGAACUUCUGAUCAGCCCUUGUAUGUUUGGAUAGUAAGUAAGUAAGCUUUAUUUCUAUAGCACUUUUCACAGACAAAAAAGUCACAAAGUGCUUCACAAAAUUAAUUAAAAUAUACACUUAACAGAUAUACUCAUGCACAUAACAUACAGAUAUACACAAAUACACAAAAA